AAUAUUGCGCAAUGGAGGGAACUCUGACGCAGCGACGCCGCGUGAGCGAUGAAGGUCUNCGGAUCNUNAAGCUCUGUCCUUGGGGNAGAAGGGAGCCGUAAGGCUUCUUGACGGUACCCAUGGAGGAAGCCCCGGCUAACUACGUGCCAGCAGCCGCGGUAAUACGUAGGGGGCAAGCGUUGUCCGGAAUUAUUGGGCGUAAAGGGUGCGUAGGCGGUAGGUUAAGUCGGAUGUGAAAGUCCAUGGCUCAACCACGGAAUUGCAUAUGAAACUGAUCUACUUGAGUUCAGGAGAGGAGAGCGGAAUUCCUAGUGUAGCGGUGAAAUGCGUAGAGAUUAGGAAGAACACCAGUGGCGAAGGCGGCUCUCUGGACUGUAACUGACGCUGAGGCGCGAAAGCGUGGGUAGCGAACA
rnacentral:rRNA from 1 species